rnacentral:misc_RNA from 1 species
UCUCUGCUGCACUUCACUUGGA